CGGAGGUUACUGCUAUCGAGGUUCGACUAAGCCAUGCGAGUCGAAUGUAGCAAUACAUGGAGAACUGCUCAGUAACACGUGGACAACCUGCCCUUAGGACGGGGAUAAACCCGGGAAACUGGGUAUAAUACCCGAUAGGUCUCGAUUGCUGGAAUGCAUCGAGAUUUAAAGCUCCGGCGCCUAAGGAUGGGUCUGCGGCCUAUCAGGUAGUAGUGGGUGUAGCGUACCUACUAGCCUACGACGGGUACGGGUUGUGAGAGCAAGAGCCCGGAGAUGGAUUCUGAGACACGAAUCCAGGCCCUACGGGGUGCAGCAGGCGCGAAAACUUUACAAUGCUGGCAACAGCGAUAAGGGAACCUCGAGUGCCAGGUUACAAAUCUGGCUGUCGAGAUGCCUAAAAAGCAUUUCAUAGCAAGGGCCGGGCAAGACCGGUGCCAGCCGCCGCGGUAACACCGGCGGCUCGAGUGGUAACCGUUAUUAUUGGGUCUAAAGGGUCUGUAGCCGGCCGGAUAAGUCUCUUGAGAAAUCUGGCAGCUUAACUGUCAGGCUUUCAGGAGAUACUGUCUGGCUCGAGGCCGGGAGAAGUGAGAGGUACUUCAGGGGUAGGGGUGAAAUCUUGUAAUCCUUGAAGGACCACCAGUGGCGAAGGCGUCUCACCAGGACGGACCUGACGGCAAGGGACGAAAGCUAGGGGCACGAACCGGAUUAGAUACCCGGGUAGUCCUAGCCGUAAACGAUACUCGCUAGGUGUCGGCCACGGUGCGACCGUUGUCGGUGCCGUAGGGAAGCCGUGAAGCGAGCCACCUGGGAAGUACGGCCGCAAGGCUGAAACUUAAAGGAAUUGGCGGGGGAGCACCACAACGGGUGGAGCUUGCGGUUUAAUUGGAUUCAACGCCGGG
rnacentral:rRNA from 1 species